AACAUGAAAUACACCAGAAGAGAUGUCAGUUUGGACAAGUUGAAGAAUGGAGCAGUACUUUGACAACAUUGAACAUUUCCAUGAACAUCUGAUCAUUGAAGGCGACCCAGGCUUUCUGUCAAAUCAGUCGUUUCCCUCCAAAGGCUUCGCAGCAACAAAGCAACAGUACGAGAGAGCCUGGCAAUGGUUGCCAUGGCAACCAUCCUGAUUGGGAGCUGGCGCAGUAGGCUACCAGAGAAAGAAGGAAACGUGGGAAGAAGAUGAAGUCGUGGAUCAAAGUUCUUGUUGAGUCAUGUCAUCUUCACUUCCUGCUGUGACUGAAGUUGGUAGCAUAUAGAUUUCAAAACAGGUAUCACGUCCUAAGCUCAACUCUAUUUUGGAAUCUACCUGUGACAGAAACAUGUAAAAACCCUGAAAACAAACAUAGCAAUCUAUUUUCAUAUCCUACAAAAACGUAAUUUUUUAAAACUGGCCGGCUACUGUGAUUAAAACACAACAGAAAAACAAUUUCCAACAGUAGCUAGG